AUGGCUGAAUACUUGUCUACAUCACACCUCCACAAAAAUGGAAGAGUAAGUAUUCCAAAAGUACGACGUAUACGUUACAUGACAAUUGACAUAUAUAUCAGCUAUUCAAAAUCCAAUGAAUUUUCCCGGAAGAACUUAGCUAACUUGACUAUCCAUUCUUUAAUCAAUAGCCACAAAGCAACAUAUUUCAUAACCACAGGAAGCAGGAGCCGACAUCCUCAGCCAGAGUUGGGUGUACUUGCGGGCGACCUCACCGUCACCAGCCCAUCUGCAGGUAUGCUAGCUCCACCUCUUCUCUUCUUUGUUGCAAAUGCAAAAAGGAGAGCCUCAAAUAUGGAAGAGCAGCCAAUGAGAUACAAAUUAAUUUAG
rnacentral:rRNA from 1 species